rnacentral:lncRNA from 1 species
CGGCACGCUCCAUGGCAACCUGAAACUGGGGAAGGACGGAAGGAGUUCUCUGCCACUAUGGCGCUGCCGAUGCUGCCUGGCAAUUCUCUUAUCAAAAACUUGGGGAAAGACAAAUUCCACAAGUCCUAGUAAUUUGACUGUUCCAAAGGGGGUCCAUAUGAUGGUGGGUUCAGGGAAGCCAGGCAUUGAAGGGGAGUUGCUGCUGGGCAGGAAGGCGCAACCAAACUACUCUUGUCUCCCCCAAAGGAGAGGGCAGUGACACUCUGUCAUGGGUGGCUUUUGACAAGCAGGUGCUGAGCUUCGACGCGUUCUUUUGGGAGGCUGUGCCUCAGAAAGCGAGAGGAGAAAGAUUGUCAUGCUGUUUGUUUCGAUUGCCUUUCUCUAAAUGUCAUCCUGAAAGGUUGCAUCUGAACCUCCUAGCCAGUGGCACAUAAGGAUUUUCCCCAGAUAAAAAACGUCAGCCCGGAGAGAUUACAGACCGAAGGGUACUCAACAUGUUUGGUCCUAUGGGCCAGGCAGGAUGCUACAUCCUGGACACCCUCAAAAUGGGUGCGGUCCAAGAGAAGUUCUAUAAGAAGGGGGGACACUGGGACGUGUGGUCAAUGUGUGGGGAUGCAGGGUGGUCAUCUGUGACUGUGACAACUUCAGCAAAGCGUUCUACUGCUCCAAAUACGGCGUUGGUGCUUGCUGGGGGGUCUGCAGUGUGGUCUGUCAGAACACGAGGAGAUGAUGUCGAGUCGUAGUUUCUGUGAGCGCCAGCUGCCCGAGGCGGAGGUUGGCCUCACGCUGGCUGUGGCUCAGGACCACCUCCGCAAGAAAGACUUUGAGAGAUUCUCCGACAUGACCCGAUCCUUCACACACAAGGACCAACACAGUUUGACAUGGACUGGAGGUGAAGAGCAUUAACUACUCUGUCCUCCUGGAAGAUAUGUUCGGUAGUGUCCAGACCAACAUCGACCCAACACUCUAACCGGCCCAACACAGGCAACACAGAGACAAAGAUAUGGAGAAGAAACCACCAGAUAGAUCAUCAGCCUAUGAAAUCAAUCACCUCACUGCUCGCUGUAUAUAUUAUCCUCUUUCAAUAAAAGACAUGGAUUAUGGC